rnacentral:rRNA from 1 species
GUAUAUGAGGUGAUCAAUUGGAGGGCAAAUCAAGUGCCAGCAGCCGCGGUAAUACUUGUUCCAAGAGUGUGUAUGAUGAUUGAUGCAGUUAAAAAGUCCGUAGUUUAUUUUUUUAAGAAGCAAUAUGAGGUGUACUGUAUAGUUGGGAGAAAGAUGAAAUGUGACGACCCUGACUGGACGAACAGAAGCGAAAGCUGUACACUUGUAUGUAUUUUUUGAACAAGGACGUAAGCUGGAGGAGCGAAGAUGAUUAGAUACCAUUGUAGUUCCAGCAGUAAACUAUGCCGACGAUGUGAUAUGAAAAUGUUAAUUUGUAUUACAUAAUAGAAAUUUGAGUUUUUUGGCUCUGGGGAUAGUAUGAUCGCAAGAUUGAAAAUUAAAGAAAUUGACGGAAGAAUACCACAAGGAGUGGAUUGUGCGGCUUAAUUUGACUCAACGCGAGGUAACUUACCAAUAUUUUAUUAUUUUGAGAGAACGGUUUUUUGUUUGAGAAUGAUAAUAGUGGUGCAUGGCCGUUUUCAAUGGAUGCUGUGAAGUUUUGAUUAAUUUCAACAAGACGUGAGACCCUUAUUUUUCAUUAAAGACAGACACAAUCAGUGUAGGAUGGAAAGGAUUAAAACAGGUCCGUUAUGCCCUCUGACAUUUUGGGCUGCACGCGCAAUACAAUAGAUAUA